GACAGAGGCCUCAAGCGUUAGGCGGAAUCACUGGGCUUAAAGCGUGUGUAGGCGGAUCGUUAAGUGCCUUGUGAAAUCCCACGGCUUAACUGUGGAACGGCUGGGCAUACUGGCGGUCUUGAGCCAUCUAGGGGCGACUGGAACAAACGGUGGAGCGGUGAAAUGCGUAGAUAUCGCUUGGAACGCCGAAGGUGAAAACAGGUCGCUGGGGACGCGCCGACGCUGAGACACGAAAGCCAGGGGAGCAAACGGG
rnacentral:rRNA from 1 species